UCAAAAACAUGUCUUUUUGAAAAUAAUUUAAAGUCUAAUCUGCCCACUGAUAGUAAUUAUUAAAGGGCUGCAGUAUAUUGACUGUACAAAGGUAGCAUAAUCAUUAGUCUUUUAAUUGAAGACUUGUAUGAAAGAUUUGAUGAAAUAUAAACUGUCUCUAAUUUAUUAAUAAAAAUUAAUUUUUUAGUUAAAAAGCUAAAAUAAUAUUAAAAGACGAGAAGACCCUAUAAAGUUUAAUAAUUUAUUUAUUUAAUAUUAAAUAUAUAAUUAAAUAUAUAAUAAUUAAUAUAAAUUAUUUUAUUGGGGUGAUAGAAAAAUUUAAUUAACUUUUUUUAAUAAAUAAACAUAAAUAAAUGAUUUAUUGAUCCAUUAUUAAUGAUUAAAAGAAAAAAUUACUUUAGGGAUAACAGCGUAAUAUUUUUUUUUAGUACAAAUAAAAAAAAAAGUUUGCGACCUCGAUGUUGGAUUAAGAUAAAAUUUAAAUGCAAAAGUUUAAAAUUUUGAUCUGUUCGAUCAUUAAAAUCUUACAUGAUCUGAGCU
rnacentral:rRNA from 1 species